AAGUGAACACUGGGUGACUGAAAGAGCAGCAGUACUGCAGACAGCUCACUAUGGAGAGCUCAUUGCAGACAGGACUGAAGCCCAGGGAAGUUUGCUGAAGAUGGGGUGCCUGGCUAGUGGGAAGAGCAUCAGGACCAGCAGAAGGUCAGUGCAGGCAGGCUGAAGACCAGGUGGACUGAUCCCAGGACCUGGCCAGACUAGGUAUGUGCCCUUUGAUUACCAUUAUGAUAUGAGAAUGCUUCUUCCCACAUUGUGGCUGCACUUACACAUGGGAAUAACUGCUGUACUUUGCCUAAAGUACCAAUAAUUACACUGCAGCUACACAGUAAGCAAUCUACCCAAGUCCCUACUGUAUCCAGCCUGGAGAUGGAAGCAUAACUGCCCAGAACUAGCAUUUGUCCACAUUGUGCAGCUAUUGUUCCAGCUAUAUCAGAUAAUUCCGAUGGUUGCAUGGUGUCAGAAGUGCUGAAUGAGAAGAAAACUGCAGUCAUUUUGAAGUUAACGCCUGUGUUUGCAACUGAAAGCAGAGGCAAAGAGCGGCACCAGAGAAGCACAUGGAGCACCAGGCACAGAUGCUUUUGCAUGUAUUUGCUUAAAUGGACUCUGGCAUUUCCCAUCUGAUUUAUCGUUUAUCAUCAACACGCAAAGGAGAAAGUGUCAAGGAACAAGAGAACAACUCAGACUCUAAUGAAAGGCUGAUCCUGAGAAUAUCAGAGUGGGACAUUAAAUGUCCUGAAAGACUCAUAGGGACUUGCUAACCUGCCAGGAGAAGGGGUAUUUGAGGAAAGUGAGUGGUAGACUCCGGGGCGGCUCCAGACCCCAGCACGCCAAGCGUGUGCUUGGGGCAGCAUGCCGCGGCAGCUUCGGUGGAGCCGCAGGACC